AGGGGUGGGGGGGAAGGCUUAUCUGGAACAGUCAUGUUGUUAGUAACUGCAAUUAAUUUCUCUCCUAUUUACUGGGGGCUAAUGGAUACAGCAGUUGAAUUCAUCGCAGCCAUUGAGUUCAUCAGGAUCAUGAUGGUGUGAGACGUUUCCGUCUCUGAACUUUCAGUUCCUGAGACAUCUAAAGGUGUCCGAGUGUUUUGCCUGCCUGUAUGAACAUAUACUAUGAGUGCUGUGCCUUGGAGCUGGAAUGAACAUAGUUCUGUGCAUGAAUCCUCUGAAAGAGCGGACAAGAUUCUCUGUGGAACCAUGGCUAUCCUUGAACUCACAGAGAUUCAUUGCUGCUGGGAGUAAAGGUUUGUACCACCACCUGCCCAGCCUUACUCCAUGAUUUUUAAGGAAUUCUCUAAAUGGCAAUGCUGAUUCAACUAAGAAGGCCAGAAUGAUGACACAGAUAUAACCCUAGCUUCCUAGACUUCAUGCAGAAAGUGACUAUGCCACUUACCACAACUUGCCACUCUACUCUGAAUAUUUACUUUAAAAUAUAUACACUUUACUUUUAACAUUUAUUUUCUUUUAAUUCUGUGUAUGUGCAUAUACCCUUUUCUGGGAGUGAUUUUUAGAGCUGUGGAUACGAGAGGCCGGUCAUGAGAGAGAAGCCUCCUGUGGGGAGGUCUUCAUAAGAGCAGUGCACGCUCAAUGCUGAGCCAUGGCUUCAUCGCUACAGGCAGCAUUAUGACUGUAACCAGGAAGGAAACGCUUUGCUCUGUCUGAUUGAACUCCAUCAAUAAAUUGAAACACUAUUAAUGAAAACAUUAA
rnacentral:sRNA from 1 species